AUUGAACGCUGGCGGCAGGCCUAACACAUGCAAGUCGAGCGGAUGAAGGGAGCUUGCUCCUGGAUUCAGCGGCGGACGGGUGAGUAAUGCCUAGGAAUCUGCCUGGUAGUGGGGGAUAACGUCCGGAGACGGGCGCUAAUACCGCAUACGUCCUGAGGGAGAAAGUGGGGGAUCUUCGGACCUCACGCUAUCAGAUGAGCCUAGGUCGGAUUAGCUAGUUGGCGGGGUAAAGGCCUACCAAGGCGACGAUCCGUAACUGGUCUGAGAGGAUGAUCAGUCACACUGGAACUGAGACACGGUCCAGACUCCUACGGGAGGCAGCAGUGGGGAAUAUUGGACAAUGGGCGAAAGCCUGAUCCAGCCAUGCCGCGUGUGUGAAGAAGGUCUUCGGAUUGUAAAGCACUUUAAGUUGGGAGGAAGGGCAGUAAGUUAAUACCUUGCUGUUUUGACGUUACCAACAGAAUAAGCACCGGCUAACUUCGUG
rnacentral:rRNA from 1 species